GUGGGGAAUCUUGCGCAAUGGGCGAAAGCCUGACGCAGCCAUGCCGCGUGAAUGAUGAAGGUCUUAGGAUUUUAAAAUUCUUUCACCGGGGACGAUAAUGACGGUACCCGGAGAAGAAGCUCCGGCUAACUUCGUGCCAGCAGCCGCGGUAAUACGAAUGGGGCUAGCGUUGCUCGGUAUUACUGGGCGUAAAGGGCGCGUAGGCGGACAGCUUAGUCAGAGGUGAAAGCCCAGGGCUCAACCUUGGAAUUGCCUUUGAUUCUGGCUGUCUUGAGUUUGGGAGAGGUGAGUGGAACUCCGAGUGUAGAGGUGAAAUUCGUAGAUAUUCGGAAGAACACCAGUGGCGAAGGCGACUCACUGGCCCGUUACUGACGCUGAGGCGCGAAAGCGUGGGGAGCAAACAGGAUUAGAUACCCGGGUAGUCC
rnacentral:rRNA from 1 species